rnacentral:rRNA from 1 species
AGCGUAAUCACUUGUCUAUUAAUUGUAGACCUGUAUGAAAGGCAAAAUGAGAGCCCAACUGUCUCUUAUAACAAAUCAAUUAAACUGAUCUUCUAGUCCAAAAGCUAGAAUAUUUACAUAAGACCAGAAGACCCUGUGAAGCUUUAACUAACCUAUUAAACCUAAUAAUAACUACUUUCGGUUGGGGCGACCUUGGAAUAAAAAAGAACUUCCAAUCAUAUGACUUCUCAUAAAAUAAGGCAAACAAGCCACACUAGACCCAGUAUUACUGAUAAUUGAAAUAAGUUACUCCAGGGAUAACAGCGCUAUCUUCUUUUAGAGCCCAUAUCAAAAAGAAGGUUUACGACCUCGAUGUUGGAUCAGGACAUCCCAGUAAUGCAACCGUUACUAAAGGUUCGUUUGUUCAACGAUUAAUAGUCCUACGUGAUCUGAGUUCAAA